AGGGUGUAAACGCUGCAGACUUGGUGUUGGGAACCCUUCGGGGUGCUCAGUGCCGGAGAGAAGUUGUUAAGUCUGCUACUUGGGGAGUACGUCCGCAAGGAUGAAACUUAAAGGAAUUGGCGGGGGAGCACCGCAACGGGAGGAGCGUGCGGUUUAAUUGGAUUCAACACCGGAAAACUCACCAAGGGCGACUGUUACAUGAAAGCCAGGCUAAUGACCUUGCUUGAUUUUCAGAGAGGAGGUGCAUGGCGUCAGUGACU
rnacentral:rRNA from 1 species